rnacentral:sRNA from 1 species
ACUCUGAGGCCGUUGCGCUGGCGGGCGAGGAGCGGCGGCGGUGGCGGCCGCUGGACAUGGGAAAGCAGAACCACCAAAAGGAGUGAUGAUCAACGAUCUCAUGAUAAAUCUGGAUGCUAGUUCUCAUGCCUCAGGACAUCCUACUGGGAACAACACACCAGCUCCUGGGAUCAGACUUUCAUCUACUUAGGACCCCUCUUUGCCCAAACUACUAAAGCCAGUCUUCACUAGCCACGAAUGGCUACCCAAAGGAAACACUUGGUGAAAGAUUUUAAUCCUUACAUUACCUGCUAUAUCUGUAAAGGGUAUCUGAUCAAGCCAACAACAGUGACGGAAUGCCUCCAUACAUCUGCAGAAUCCUACUGGAUGUCCGCUUGGAUGUCCUGAAGCCACCUGAAACUCAGCAUAUCUACGAAUGAUCAAAUGGGAUGCCAGCACUCAGUUAUCCAAGCAAGAAAUAUGCUCCAUGCUUGACUCUUUACCCUCACUAACAAAACUGGGCAAAGUCCUGCUGGUCUCUCUCUUUAAUACUUCUCAAAUCUGUCCCUUUAGUUUCAUACCUCUGUUACUGUUCUCAUUCAGAUUCUUAUUACAUCUCACCAAAGCCACUGCAGCACAUUCUUAACUGUGUCCAAGUGGUAAUAAUUAAAAACAGCUUACUGUCUUUAUCAUUAUCACUCUUAACCCACCCUAAAAUUUCCUAAAGGUAUCCUGUUGACCUCAGGAUACAUUAAAGCUACUUAGUGGUGACUGGUUUCUGCCUACCACUUCCUCCCCUACCACCUAACACUCACACAUACAAAUACUUGGUUCAGCUGUUUGCUCUCCUUGAAAUGAAUGCCUCCUCUGUGCCCAGCUAGCAGUUACCCAUCCUUUAGAACUCAUCCCCUCUAAGAUGUGCCCUACCACAUGCAGAUUUGGGUUAAGUGUCUCAAUAAAAUCUUAAAUGAAUAAAUACAUGGCUAAUAAGUUA